GGUCCUAUGGUGUAGUGGUUAUCACGUCUGCUUUACACGCAGAAGAUCGUCGGUUCGAACCCGGCUAGGACCU
rnacentral:tRNA from 1 species